CAUCAGCAUCAAGAGCAAGAUUAAAUUCUUCUCCAACCUGCCCACUCCGGUAAGGUGGAAAAACGAUGCGGCAUUCUGCAAUACAAGGAGGAAGAAUGGAAAAAAGAGUAUUUUGUC
rnacentral:ncRNA from 1 species